rnacentral:rRNA from 1 species
UACAGAGGGGGCAAGCGUUGUUCGGAAUUACUGGGCGUAAAGGGCGCGUAGGCGGCCUGCUAAGUCGAACGUGAAAUCCCCGGGCUCAACCCGGGAACUGCGUCCGAUACUGGCAGGCUUGAAUUCGGGAGAGGGAUGCGGAAUUCCAGGUGUAGCGGUGAAAUGCGUAGAUAUCUGGAGGAACACCGGUGGCGAAGGCGGCAUCCUGGACCGAAAUUGACGCUGAGGCGCGAAAGCGUGGGUAGCAAACAGG